AGUCAGAAAUAAGUAUUUCUUAUUUACUACUUCUUCUGAAGUAGCAUGCUCAAGAAUUUCAAAUAAGGAAUUGGAUCAUGGCAUUAACUUUGAACAGAAGACCAGGAAACAAAGAACCUAUGUAAAGUGAACUAUUGUUUUGUGUUUGAGCAUUGUUUGUUUGUUUUGCAAGAUUGUCCUAGAAUUGGCUUCAAAAUAGUUUCUGUGCUGGACAGAUGACUCAGAGAGAUUAAAUUCUAGUCAAAAGGAAGAAAAGAAUGUUCGUAUUCAUUGCAUGUACCUGGAAUGGACAAGAACUCAACAAUUUUUUGAGCAAAUUAUACUACCAAGGAACUUGCAAGUCUAGUGUGUAAAAGUUUGAUAAGAAACCAUCUCCUGAGAUUCUAACCCUGUAUCUGCAGAGAACUGAGAAACUUGGGCUGCAUUCAAUUUCAACCCUGAAACUCCUUGUCUAUCAUUACAUCUAAAGUGAAAAGAGAAUAUGCUUUCCAGUGUGCACUGUAGAAGUGUCCCAGGGAUGAUGGAUAAAGAAGAAUUUCCUAAAGGACAAAGCCAGUGGACCACAAGGACAGUGGAUUGGGGGUUUCCAAGAGGGCUGAGCCGGGAAUUCAUCAAGGAGCCCACUCCAGUGCCAGCGAGGGGAGUCUGCAAUUGCUGCCCAGCAAGAUUUCCACAUUGCUAGAGACCAGCUUCUCUGUGUCAUUUAUAUCCUUCUCUUUUCCAAGUAGGAAUUUUAUUACACUUGUCCUGGUUCUGUUGCACUACUGUAUCUUGUGUUUUCGUGGGAACGUGGGGGCUGUGGGAAGUGGCAGGGAAAUUAUCUAUAGUUAGUCCAUCAUAGAACCAGAUGACGCUUCCUCAGGACUCAUGGAAAGAAUUUCACAUCACGUAGGAAUUCUAGGUUUUGAGCUGAACUGGGUUGGACUCUACAUUGUUCACCUUUGGAAAAGAGGUGUGUCAACAUGGGGUAAAAGAAGCAAAAAAAAAGUUGAGUUACACCCAAAUGGGUUAUGGCAAAAGCUGCCAAGUGUCCCUAGUAUCACUACCUCUUAAUUCCUUCUAAUCCUAGAAGCCACCAGAAUUUUAGCAAAUAUAUACAUGGUCCAAGUAGAAAUGAAAUUUCUAAAAAAAAAAAAAGAAAUUUCUCAGCCUCACUUGGAGUUGACUGUGGCCAUGUGACUCAAUGCUGACAUUUACCUAAUAAGACGUUUGCCUAAGAAGUCAUCUUAUGGGCUUCCCUGUGGUGUAGUGGUUAAGAAUCUGCCUGCCAAUGCAGGGGACACAGUUUGGAUCCCUGGUCUGGGAGGAGCCACAUGCUACAGAGCAGCUAAACCCACGCACCACAACUACUGAGCCUGUGCUCUGGAGCCCAAGUGCCUAGAGCCUGUGCUCCACGACAAGAGAAGCCACCGCAUUUGCAACAAAGUGUAGCCCCCACUCACUGCAACUAGAGAAAACCUUCACAAAGCUACAAAGA
ensembl:lncRNA